rnacentral:rRNA from 1 species
GAUGAACGCUGGCGGCGUGCUUAAUACAUGCAAGUCGAGCGAACGGACGCUAAGCUUGCUUCUCUGAUGUUAGCCGCGGACGGGUGUGUAACACGUGGAUAACCUACCUAUAAGACUGGGAUAACUUCGGGACACCGUAGCUAAUACCGGAUAAUAUUUUGCACCGCAUGGUUCAAAAGUGAAAGACGGUCUUGCUGGCAGUUAUGGAUGGAUUCGCGCUGCAUUAGCUUGUUGGUGAGGUAGUGGCUUACCAAGGCAACGAUGGGUAGCCGACCUGAGAGGGUGAGCGGCGACAUUGGGACUGAGGGACGGCACAGACGGGAAUGUUCCGCAAUGGGCGAAAGCCUUACGGAGCGACGGCACGUGAGUGAUGAAGGUCUUGGGAUCGGAAAACUCUGUUAUUAGUGAAGAACAUAUGCGUAAGGAGAUGUGGACAGCUUGACGGUAACUAAUCAGAAAGCCACGGCUAACUACGUG